rnacentral:rRNA from 1 species
GAGUUUGAUCGUGGCUCAGGAUGAACGCUGGCGGCGUGCCUAAUACAUGCAAGUCGAGCGAACAGACGAGGAGCUUGCUCCUCUGACGUUAGCGGCGGACGGGUGAGUAACACGUGGAUAACCUACCUAUAAGACUGGGAUAACUUCGGGAAACCGGAGCUAAUACCGGAUAAUAUAUUGAACCGCAUGGUUCAAUAGUGAAAGACGGUUUUGCUGUCACUUAUAGAUGGAUCCGCGCCGCAUUAGCUAGUUGGUAAAGUAACGGCUUACCAAGGCAACGAUGCGUAGCCGACCUGAGAGGGUGAUCGGCCACACUGGAACUGAGACACGGUCCAGACUCCUACGGGAGGCAGCAGUAGGGAAUCUUCCGCAAUGGGCGAAAGCCUGACGGAGCAACGCCGCGUGAGUGAUGAAGGUCUUCGGAUCGUAAAACUCUGUUAUUAGGGAAGAACAAAUGUGUAAGUAACUAUGCACGUCUUGACGGUACCUAAUCAGAAAGCCACGGCUAACUACGUGCCAGCCCG